GAUGAACGCUGGCGGCGUGCCUAAUACAUGCAAGUCGAGCGAGUGGAUUGAGAGCUUGCUCUUAUGAAGUUAGCGGCGGACGGGUGAGUAACACGUGGGUAACCUGCCCAUAAGACUGGGAUAACUCCGGGAAACCGGGGCUAAUACCGGAUAACAUUUUGAACCGCAUGGUUCGAAAUUGAAAGGCGGCUUCGGCUGUCACUUAUGGAUGGACCCGCGCCGCAUUAGCUAGUUGGUGAGGUAACGGCUCACCAAGGCAACGAUGCGUAGCCGACCUGAGAGGGUGAUCGGCCACACUGGGACUGAGACACGGCCCAGACUCCUACGGGAGGCAGCAGUAGGGAAUCUUCCGCAAUGGACGAAAGUCUGACGGAGCAACGUCGCGUGAGUGAUGAAGGCUUUCGGGUCGUAAAACUCUGUUGUUAGGGAAGAACAAGUGCUAGUUGAAUAAGCUGGCACCUUGACGGUACCUAACCAGAAAGCCACGGCUAACUACGUGCCAGCCGCCGCCGUAA
rnacentral:rRNA from 1 species